rnacentral:tRNA from 1 species
GGAGAGAUGGCAGAGCGGUCGAAUGCGGCGGUCUUGAAAACCGUUAACCUGAAAGGGUUCGUGGGUUCGAAUCCCACUCUCUCCUCCA